CGUAGGGUGCAAGCGUUGUCCGGAAUUAUUGGGCGUAAAGAGCUCGUAGGCGGCUUGUCGCGUCGGAUGUGAAAGCCCGGGGCUUAAACCCCGGGUUUGCAUACGAUACGGGCAGGCUAGAGUUCGGUAGGGGAGAUCGGAAUUCCUGGUGUAGCGGUGAAAUGCGCAGAUAUCAGGAGGAACACCGGUGGCGAAGGCGGAUCUCUGGGCCGAUACUGACGCUGAGGAGCGAAAGCGUGGGGCAGCGAACAGGAUU
rnacentral:rRNA from 1 species